rnacentral:lncRNA from 1 species
GCACUGAAUUAUGUAGGAUUGAAACCAUAUAUCAGCCCUAUACAUAUGACAACCACUUUUGAUGAACUUCCAAAUGUGCAAAUAUGAAUGCAUGGAUGCAAAACAUACCUUGGCAUUGUCUUUGAGCCACAUUGAUCCAGGAUUGCAAAAUGUCACUUAAAAAAUAUAUGUUACACUCAAAAACCUACUCUAUGUUUUUGUAACAAGAAAUUGCCAAUAUACAAAAAUGGUCCUAACAAUCUCCCCUCUGGCAUUUCCUAUACAAGAACUCCAAUUACAAAAGUUGGUCAUAACAAUGUCCCCCCUAAACGAAUUAAAAGUGAAUGAAAAGAAUUCCUAACCAAAAAAAGAAAAAAGAAAAAAAAAAGACCACUUGCAAUAGAGAAGGUAACCUGAAUUCUGCACAACCAAAAAUAACCAGUAAAAAACAUGUAUGACUGGAAAUAUAAUACGUAAGUAAAAGUUGAAGUCAGAAUGUUUACUCCCCUUUUUUUGGAUAGGCAAUGGCAAACUUCCCUUCAAAGCAACAGCUACACCACAACAACAAAACAAACAAACUCCCCCUUAAAUCAAUAGCCACGGUUCUGGUUGCUAAUUGAGGAUUUUAGUCAUUUUUUGGAUUGUAUGUGAUUCUAUCCAGAUCAAUUCAACAUGUUGUUGUGUUUGGUCACUAGAGAAGAUUUACCCAUAUUCGACACCAUACGAUAUAAAUAAAUAAAAAAGAAACAGAACUGCCAAUAUGGUCUAACCCAGUGAAAAAGAGUCUUGACUUGUAGACUAAUGGUCUAAGGUUUGAAUUUUGAACUCACAUGACAUCUUGGUAGUGUGAGAAAUCCUCAUACCUCUUGUAAUUUAGAGACUAUCGCUUGUAUUAAAAAAAAAGAAAAAAAGAUAGGGUUUAGGCUUGUAGUGGUAAAGUCGAGUCCACGUAGGCUGAGGCUAGCGUAGGCUUGCGAUUGAGUCCAUCUAUCAUGCCUACUGCAACAAGCGUUUAUGCCGCCCCAAAGACCCAAUUAAUAAUGUUCAAAGUCCUUGCUUUCUCUUGCACUUCACAUUUUGUUUGAGUUCACUUUCAGUUUGUCCACGUUCAUAGUUAUUAGGU